rnacentral:misc_RNA from 1 species
AACGCACCUUGCGCUCCUUGGUAUUCCGAGGAGCAUGCCUGUUUGAGUGUCGUGAAAUUAUCAACUCCCAUUCUUUGUUGAUUGGUGAGCUUGGACUUGGGGACUGCUGGUGCAAAUCAGCUUCCCUUGAAUGAAUUAGCUGGAAUUUGAUUCGCAGCAUAUAUGCGGUGUGAUAAUGUCGUCACUGUGUAGCUCGGAUUGUCUGGCUUCUAAUUGUCCUUCACGGACAACUUGAUCUUUUGACCUCAAAUCAGGUAGGACUACCCGCUGAACUUAA